rnacentral:rRNA from 1 species
AAAGAGCUCGUAGGUGGUUUGUCGCGUCGUUUGUGUAAGCCCGCAGCUUAACUGCGGGACUGCAGGCGAUACGGGCAUAACUUGAGUGCUGUAGGGGAGACUGGAAUUCCUGGUGUAGCGGUGGAAUGCGCAGAUAUCAGGAGGAACACCGAUGGCGAAGGCAGGUCUCUGGGCAGUAACUGACGCUGAGGAGCGAAAGCAUGGGUAGCGAACAGGAUUAGAUACCCUGGUAGUCCAUGCCGUAAACGGUGGGCGCUAGGUGUGAGUCCCUUCCACGGGGUUCGUGCCGUAGCUAACGCAUUAAGCGCCCCGCCUGGGGAGUACGGCCGCAAGGCUAAAACUCAAAGGAAUUGACGGGGGCCCGCACAAGCGGCGGAGCAUGUGGAUUAAUUCGAUGCAACGCGAAGAACCUUACCUGGGCUUGACAUACACCAGAUCGCCGUAGAGAUACUGUUUCCCUUUGUGGUUGGUGUACAGGUGGUGCAUGGUUGUCGUCAGCUCGUGUCGUGAGAUGUUGGGUUAAGUCCCGCAACGAGCGCAACCCUUGUCUUAUGUUGCCAGCACGUUAUGGUGGGGACUCGUGAGAGACUGCCGGGGUUAACUCGGAGGAAGGUGGGGAUGACGUCAAAUCAUCAUGCCCCUUAUGUCCAGGGCUUCACACAUGCUACAAUGGUCGGUACAACGCGCAUGCGAGCCUGUGAGGGUGAGCGAAUCGCUGUAAAGCCGGUCGUAGUUCGGAUUGGGGUCUGCAACUCGACCCCAUGAAGUCGGAGUCGCUAGUAAU